AGUGAACGCUGGCGGUAGGCCUAACACAUGCAAGUCGAACGGCAGCACAGAGGAGCUUGCUCCUUGGGUGGCGAGUGGCGGACAGGUGAGGAAUACAUCGGAAUCUACUUUUUCGUGGGGAUAACGUAGGGAAACUUACGCUAAUACCGCAUACGACCUACGGGUGAAAGCAGGGGAUCUUCGGACCUUGCGCGAUUGAAUGAGCCGAUGUCGGAUUAGCUAGUUGGCGGGGUAAAGGCCCACCAAGGCGACGAUCCGUAGCGGGUCUGAGAGGAUGAUCAGCCACACUGGAACUGAGACACGGUCCAGACUCCUACGGGAGGCAGCAGUGGGGAAUAUUGGACAAUGGGCGCAAGCCUGAUCCAGCCAUACCGCGUGGGUGAAGAAGGCCUUCGGGUUGUAAAGCCCUUUUGUUGGGAAAGAAAUCCAGCCGGCUAAUACCUGGUUGGGAUGACGGUACCCAAAGAAUAAGCACCGGCUAACUUCGUGCCAGCAGCCGCCGCCGUAA
rnacentral:rRNA from 1 species